rnacentral:rRNA from 1 species
UACGUACGAGGCGAGCGUUAUCCGGAAUUACUGGGCGUAAAGCGCACGCAGGCGGUUUGUUAAGUCAGAUGUGAAAUCCCCGGGCUCAACCUGGGAACUGCAUUUGAAACUGGCAAGCUUGAGUCUUGUAGAGGGGGGUAGAAUUCCAGGUGUAGCGGUGAAAUGCGUAGAGAUCUGGAGGAAUACCGGUGGCGAAGGCGGCCCCCUGGACAAAGACUGACGCUCAGGUGCGAAAGCGUGGGGAGCAAACAGG